UGAAACUGCCUGUUGUGUAAAUCUCCCAUUAUUUCUACACAGUCACAGUAACAGCAGGUGUACUGGCCAUCUCAGAGGAAAUAGGUAAGAGGAAAAAAUUUUCAUCCUAAAAUGCAGAGUUCAAAUCAUUUGCGUUCAUCUACAGUUUAAGCCGUUUUAUUCCAAACAUGUUUAUUACAAAGACGUUUAAUUGUCCUUAAUGCUCUCUUUCACUCUCAAAUGAUGUAGCUGUCUACCCCGCCAUGCUUUUUGGAUCAAAGGCUCAAGUUAGAAAGGGAGACACUAUAGAUUUGAAGUGUAAUAUCUCUGGCAUCAUAAGAUUCUGGGACAAGGUUCAUGUGUACAUUUACAAGAAUGGAGUUGAGAUGGCAAUGAAGGUUUUGGAGAAAGGUGAAGAUGACGCUAUUUUCACCAUGAAGGAUGUUACAAGAGAAGACUCAGGCAACUACAGCUGUGUGUACACCAGAGAUAAACUUCUACUGGAUCAAGUGAAAUCAGCAGGCAAGAAUUUAGUAGCCAUCUGUGUCUAUGAAGAGGCUGCACAUGAUGUGAUACUGGUCAAUGUAAUCCGACUGAUAAGUUCAGCUGUUGUGGUCAUACUUCUGCUGACUGUAGUGGCUGUUAGUUCAUGCUGUUCAAAAAGAGGUAAUUAUGAUGAUUGAUGUCUCUUUUCAUAUAGUAGUGACCUAUUGACAGAGACACUUUUGGUAACCCUUCCUAUGAAUACCCUCUUCAAAAUGCCUUAGAAGCACACGUAUAACGCCUUAUGAGACAUGCAGAACACAUUAUAAUGCAUAGCAUACAGUGGGGGAAAAAAGUAUUUGAUCCCCUGCUGAUUUUGUACGUUUGCCCACUUACAAAGAAAUGAUCAGUCUAUAAUUUUAAUAGUAGGUUUAUUUGAACAGUGAGAGACAGAAUAACAACAAAAAAAUGCAUGUCAAAAAUGUUAUAAAAUGAUUUGCAUUUUAAUGAGGGAAAUAAGUAUUUGACCCCUCUGCAAAACAUGACUUAGUACUUGGUGGCAAAACCCUUGUUGGCAAUCACAGAGGUCAGAUGUUUCUUGUAGUUGGCCAUCAGGUUUGCACACAUCUCAGGAGGGAUUUUGUCCCACUCCUCUUUGCAGAUCUUCUCCAAGUCAUUAAGGUUUCGAGGCUGACGUUUGGCAACUCGAACCUUCAGCUCCCUCCACAGAUUUUCUAUGGGAUUAAGGUCUGGAGACUGGCUAGGCCACUCCAGGACCUUAAUGUGCUUCUUCUUGAGCCACUUCUUUGUUGCCUUGGCCGUGUGUUUGGGUCAUUGUCAUGCUGGAAUACCCAUCCACGACCCAUUUUCAAUGCCCUGGCUGAGGGAAGGAGGUUGUCACCCAAGAUUUGACGGUACAUGGCCCUGUCCAUCAUCCCUUUGAUGCGAUGAAGUUGUCCUGUCCCCUUAGCAGAAAAACACCCCCAAAGCAUAAUGUUUCCACCUCCAUGUUUGACGGUGGGGAUGGUGUUCUUGGGGUCAUAGGCAGCAUUCCUUCUCCUCCAAACGCGGCGAGUUGAGUUGAUGUCAAAGAGCUCCAUUUUGGUCUCAUCUGACCACAACACUUUCACCAGUUGUCCUCUGAAUCAUUGAUGUUCAUUGGCAAACUUCAGACGGGCAUGUAUAUGUAUUCUUCAGCAGGGGGACCUUGCGGGCGCUGCAGGAUUUCAGUCCUUCACGGCGUAGUGUGUUACCAAUUGUUUUCUUGGUGACUAUGGUCCCAGCUGCCUUGAGAUCAUUGACAAGAUCCUCCCGUGUAGUUCUGGGCUGAUUCCUCACUGUUCUCAUGAUCAUUGCAACUCCACGAGGUGAGAUCUUGCAUUGAGCCCCAGGCCGAGGGAUAUUGACAGUUUUUUUGUGUUUCUUCCAUUUGCGUAUAAUCGCACCAAAUGUUGUCACCUUCUCACCAAGUUGCUUGGCGAUGGUCUUGUAGCCCAUUCCAACCUUGUGUAGGUCUACAAUCUUGUCGAAGACACCCUUGGAGAGCUCUUUGGUCUUGGCCAUGGUGGAGAGUUUGGAAUCCUAUUGAUUGAUUGCUUCUGUGGACAGGUGUCUUUUUUACAGGUAACAAGCUGCAGUUAGGAGGACUCCCUUUAAGAGUGUGCUCCUAAUCUCAGCUCGUUACCUGUAUAAAAGACACCUGGGAGCCAGAAAUCUUUCUGAUUGAGAGGGGUUCAAAUACUUAUUUCCCUCAUUAAAAUGCAAAUCAAUUUAUAACAUUUUUGACAUGCGUUUUUCUGGAUAUUUUUGUUGUUAUUCUGUCUCUCACUGUUCAAAUAAACCUACCAUUAAAAUUAUAGACUGAUCCUUUCUUUGUCAGUGGGCAAACGUACAAAAUCAGCAGGGGAUCAAAUACUUUUUUCCCCCACUGUAGGAGCUAAUAACUGCUCGGAAACAUUUAAAACUACAUUCACAAUGUAUUACUAAUUUGUUGUCACGCUGGUAUGAAGGGAUCGGGAGACAGGCACAGGAAUGCGUUUUUUUAAUUUUUAUUAUGCCCAAAUUACGGCGUGCCGUGUAAAGGCACGGGGACGAAGACCAAACAAACACGUCACAAAACACAGGGUUGAAACCCAAACAAAAGAGCGAGGAGUACCUCGAAUAAAUAACAGACGCUCACAAUGAUUAACACACGGGACGAGACGCGUAAUGACCUGCGCAAUCCACAAGGGCACGAAAGCCCAAAACACACAGCACAGGUACUCACACGCACCAACAGACAUUGUAACAAUAAUCGACAGCCCAAUGGCAACCAAAGGGCACGCUUAUACAAGUACUAAUCAGUGGGAAUAGGGGACAGGUGUGCGUAAUGAAAGUUCCGGAAGGAUCCGUGACACUUGUAAACACUACUGAACAAAAAUAUAAACGCAACACGUAAAAUGUUGGUUCCAUGUUUCAUGAGCUGAAAUAAAAGAUCCCAGAAAUGUUCCAUACGCACAAAAAGCUUAUUUCUCUUUAUUUGUGAAGAAAUGUGUUUACAUCCCUGUUAGUGAGCAUUUCUCCUUUGCCAAGAUAAUCCAUCCACCUGACAGGUGUGGCAUAUCAAGAAGCUGAUUAAACAGCAUGAUCAAAAGCCACUCAAAAAUGUUCUGUUUUGUCACACAAUGCCAUGCCACAGAUUCUUCAAGUUUUGAGGGAGCGUGCAGUUGGGAUGCUGACUGCAGGAAUGUCCACCAGAGCUGUUUCCAGAGAAUCUAAUGUUAAUUUCGCUACCAUAAGCCACCUCCAACGUCGUUUUAGAGAAUUUGGCAGUACGUCCAACCGGCCUCUCAACCACAGACCACGUGUAAUUGUCUGAAACCAGCCACCCAGGCAGCUGAUGAAACUGAGGAGUAUUUCUGUCUGUAAUAAAGUCCUUUUGUGGGGAAAAACUCAUUCUGAUUGGCUGUGGGUGGUCCUGGCUCCCAAGUGGGUGGGCCUAUGUCCUCGCAGGCCCAACCAUCAUGCAAAAAAUGAAUGCAUUCAAUUGUACAAUUGACUAGGUUUCCCCCUUAUCCUGUCCCUUUCUUGAUUUUAAACUGCAAGAGAAGUGCUACACCUGGUGGA
rnacentral:lncRNA from 8 species